CUCAAGGAAGAAGAGAGAGCUCAUAGUGAAUGUCUUCAUUUUUUUCCUGUAAAAUAUGAGGAAAAUCCAAGGAUCACUACCUCUUUGUGACUAAUGAUAGCAGCUAAUAAAGAGUGAAGAAGAGGUUUUGGAUAUUUGAAGAUUGCAAUGAUUCCUACCAACCCCUCACCCCUGCAUUUGGUCAUUGUUCUAGGUUUAUAAAUUUGUUUGUGUAGAAAGUUUCAGUUUAAUAAAAUCAAAGUUAUGUAUUUUA